GAUGAACGCUGGCGGCGUGCCUAAUACAUGCAAGUCGAGCGAACAGAUGAGAAGCUUGCUUCUCUGAUGUUAGCGGCGGACGGGUGAGUAACACGUGGGUAACCUACCUAUAAGACUGGGAUAACUCCGGGAAACCGGGGCUAAUACCGGAUAAUAUUUUGAACCGCAUGGUUCAAUAGUGAAAGACGGUUUCGGCUGUCACUUAUAGAUGGACCCGCGCCGUAUUAGCUAGUUGGUAAGGUAAUGGCUUACCAAGGCGACGAUACGUAGCCGACCUGAGAGGGUGAUCGGCCACACUGGAACGGAGUCACGGUCCAGACUCCUACGGGAGGCAGCAGUAGGGAAUCUUCCGCAAUGGGCGAAAGCCUGACGGAGCAACGCCGCGUGAGUGAUGAAGGUCUUCGGAUCGUAAAACUCUGUUGUUAGGGAAGAACAAAUUUGUUAGUAACUGAACAAGUCUUGACGGUACCUAACCAGAAAGCCACGGCUAACUACGUGCCAGCCGCCGCCGUAA
rnacentral:rRNA from 1 species